CUACGGGCUGCUGCAGUGGGGAAUAUUGCACAAUGGGCGAAAGCCUGAUGCAGCAACGCCGCGUGGAGGAUGACACAUUUCGGUGCGUAAACUCCUUUUAUAUAAGAAGAUAAUGACGGUAUUAUAUGAAUAAGCACCGGCUAACUCCGUGCCAGCAGCCGCGGGUAAUACGGGGGGUGCAAGCGUUACUCGGAAUCACUGGGCGUAAAGAGCAUGUAGGCUGGAUGACAAGUUGGAAGUGAAAUCCUAUGGCUUAACCAUAGAACUGCUUCCAAAACUGUCUUCCUAGAGUAUGGGAGAGGUAGAUGGAAUUUCUGGUGUAGGGGUAAAAUCCGUAGAGAUCAGAAGGAAUACCGAUUGCGAAGGCGAUCUACUGGAACAUUACUGACGCUCAGAUGCGAAAGCGUGGGGAGCAAACAGGAUUAGAUACCCCAGUAGUC
rnacentral:rRNA from 1 species